UACGUAGGGUGCGAGCGUUGUCCGGAAUUAUUGGGCGUAAAGAGCUCGUAGGCGGUCUGUCGCGUCGAUCGUGAAAACUUGGGGCUUAACCCUGAGCUUGCGGUCGAUACGGGCAUGACUGGAGUUCGGCAGGGGAGACUGGAAUUCCUGGUGUAGCGGUGAAAUGCGCAGAUAUCAGGAGGAACGCCGGUGGCGAAGGCGGGUCUCUGGGCCGAUACUGACGCUGAGGAGCGAAAGCGUGGGGAGCGAACAGG
rnacentral:rRNA from 1 species